rnacentral:rRNA from 1 species
UACGUAGGGACCGAGCGUUGUCCGGAUUUAUUGGGCGUAAAGAGCUCGUAGGCGGCUUGUCGCGUCGUCCGCGAAAACCCACAGCUCAACUGUGGGCUUGCGGUCGAUACGGGCAGGCUAGAGUUCGGUAGGGGAGACUGGAAUUCCUGGUGUAGCGGUGAAAUGCGCAGAUAUCAGGAGGAACACCGGUGGCGAAGGCGGGUCUCUGGGCCGAUACUGACGCUGAGGAGCGAAAGCGUGGGGAGCGAACAGG